AUUUAUGUUAAGGAAUAACGAUGC
rnacentral:siRNA from 1 species